rnacentral:rRNA from 1 species
GUCGAGUCGGCCUGCGCGGAAGAUGUAACGGGGCUAAACCAUGCACCGAAGCUGCGGCAGCGACACUGUGUGUUGUUGGGUAGGGGAGCGUUCUGUAAGCCUGUGAAGGUGGCCUGUGAGGGUUGCUGGAGGUAUCAGAAGUGCGAAUGCUGACAUAAGUAACGAUAAAGCGGGUGAAAAGCCCGCUCGCCGGAAGACCAAGGGUUCCUGUCCAA